GAUGAACGCUGGCGGCGUGCCUAAUACAUGCAAGUCGAGCGAACAGACGAGGAGCUUGCUCCUCUGACGUUAGCGGCGGACGGGUGAGUAACACGUGGAUAACCUACCUAUAAGACUGCGAUAACUUCGGGAAACCGUAGCUAAUACCGGAUAAUAUAUUGAACCGCAUGGUUCAAUAGUGAAAGACGGUUUUGCUGUCACUUAUAGAUGGAUCCGCGCCGCAUUAGCUAGUUGGUAAGGUAACGGCUUACCAAGGCAACGAUGCGUAGCCGACCUGAGAGGGUGAUCGGCCACACUGGAACUGAGACACGGUCCAGACUCCUACGGGAGGCAGCAGUAGGGAAUCUUCCGCAAUGGGCGAAAGCCUGACGGAGCAACGCCGCGUGAGUGAUGAAGGUCUUCGGAUCGUAAAACUCUGUUAUUAGGGAAGAACAAAUGUGUAAGUAACUAUGCACGUCUUGACGGUACCUAAUCAGAAAGCCACGGCUAACUACGUG
rnacentral:rRNA from 1 species